AUGAGUUUUUGGCAUGUGAUGAGCAUCAGGCUGCAGCACCUCAGCCUGCCAGCUGGGCACAGCUGCCAGCAAGGCCUGGGUCACUCCUCAUGUGGCAGGGCCUCGAGAAGGCCUGGGGAAGGGACGCUUGUUUGGGUUUGCAGUUUCUGCAGCUAAUCUGCACAGUAACUAAGUGACAAUGAGGAAGACAGCACAAAAGGAGUAAGCUAGUGCUUAUACUUAAAAACAAACCUUGUUGCUUCAGAUUGCAGGAAAAAAGCCAAUUUAUCUCCUUUUUUGGAAAAAAGCACACUGAUUGGAACACACUCUUACCCUGGGUAUUCUGAAAAGGAAGGGUUUGUUUAGUGAUGCUGAUUUAAAGCCCUAUUGAAAUGAUAUGAGCAGCAGAAGUCUCGGACUUGUCUCCUCUGCCAAAUGAGAUACAGGCAGAGCAAGGAAAAGAGAGGAAACCACAAGUUAUAUCACUAAUCAUUUUUUUUAAACGGAGUCCAACAAGACUGUACGGAAUGUGGAGGAGGAAACAAGCUGUAGCACUCACAGGUUAUCAUGCUGCUUGUAGCACAGUUUGGAGAAGCCCAGGGAUUGUCUCACACUGUACUAGAAAUUAACUGCUCCUAGGAAGUCACCUUUCAAGACUUUCCCUGCUAUGGCAGGCAAAGUGAUUUUGCAGAAGCUUAUUGGAUUAACAUAGCAGAAGACUAACAUGAAUAAACCCACGACAGCCCCAGAGAGUAUUGCAAAACCUUCCCACCCCGAACUUCUUACCUCUGUGAUUUCUGUAUUUUUGAGAAGAAACUCAAAAUUUGGUCGGUGGGAGCUUCUUGCUGUGUCUGUGGAAUAUCUGUUGAGAUUUGUGUGAAUCGUGUGAUGUUGAAAAUUGCCCUUUGUUUCUGCAUUUAUUCUCCUCCUGACAUUUUGGUUGAGGUAUUUUCUCUUAUGUCAUAAAUGUUAUAAACAUCUAGACUUGAGAAAUCUGGAAAUGUUUUGGACUUCUUUGGU